rnacentral:rRNA from 1 species
GACGAACGCUGGCGGCGGGCCUAACACAUGCAAGUCGAACGGAAAGGUUCUGCUUUUGUUGGGUGCGCGAGUGGCGAACGGGUGAGUAAUAUGUAAGCAACCUUCCUCUGACUUUGGGAUAACCUCAGGAAACUUGGGUUAAUACCGAUUAGUUGCUCCUCCUGCAUGGUUGGUGUUGGAACGGUGCGGUGGUUGGGGAUGCACUCGCGGCUUAUUAGCUUGUUGGUGAGGUGGUGGCUUACGCAGGCAUUGACGGGUAGCCGGCCUGAGAGGGGGACCGGCAACAUUGCGACUGAGAUACGGCACGGAGUCCUACGGGAGGCAGGAGUGGGGAAUAAUGCAUGAUGGGCGGAAGCCUGAUGCAGCAACGCCGCCUGCGGGGUGGUGGCCUUCUGGUGUUAAGCCACUUUCGCCUCUGACGAAGGGUGAGUGACGGUAAUGUGUAAAGAAGCACCGGCUAACUACGUG